ACUUGCUAAAUGAAUUAGCAAUGCUGAUAAAUACAAAUAUCAUGUUGUUUGCCCAAUCUAUCUUAGGGUCUAAAAUUUCAUAGGAUUUGCAACUGAUCAUGGCCAGUAUAUUUCCAUUUUAUCUUUUAAGAAUGUACAAUUGUGGAGCCAAAACAUGAAAAAAGAUAAUGGAACAUUAUUUCAUGAAACCUCGUUUCAUUUCUUAAGUAUUAUUGAUAUGCUUACUCUUCAUUUUCAUUUUCCAUUAAUAGUCAAGUAUGUAACUCUGCAUAAAAUUGUGAUACAUUAUACAAUGAUUUGUCAAAAGAUGCAUGAUGCAAACAUUUAGGGGUCUUUCUGAUAAAAGUACUCAUAAUUUUAGUACUUACAUUCAUAUCUUUUCUGCUGCAUUCAUUUUGAAAAAUAGAUCACUUGAAAAAAAAAUUAAAUAGCAACACAAUUUUGUUUUUAAAUUAUGCAUUUACAAUUGUCCUUGAUUUGCACUGUGUAGGCACGUUAACGUGUAAAUAUGUGCAGUUGUUGUCCAUCUAUGUUGAACAGAAUUAUGGCUUUUCAGAGUGUGCAUUGAAUGUUAAUCAGUUUGUGAAGGUUUGUUUUGCAGAAUAAUUAUGACCCUUGAGUUUGUAUUAUUAUUUCUAAAAUCUGGUUUAAAUUCCUAACAAAAUUCUUUUAAAAACAAUAUUCCAAUUCAUCAAUUUCUACAUAGAAUAAGCAGCUGUUGUGUUGCAUUUGCUCGAAAGAAUCCUAAUAUUUAUUCUCAUUAAAUCUUGCACAAUGACUAAGGCAUGCUAGUAUAUUACAGACUAUCACUCUCAUCUAACUACAUUUUAGAAAUUGCAAAACACCUUAAUUCCAUAAAAAUAUCUAAACACAUAACUUAGGGGCAAUGAAUAAGGCUCUUGCUCUGUACCAUAGACCUUUCACAAUGCCAUUGGCAAUAGGAUUAGAACUUUACUAAAUUAUAAUCAAAAUGUUUUACCAUCAUGUAAUAAAGUAGCCUGAAAUUCUUGAAAAGAAUUGCAACUUAUCAAAUUCCUGAGUUUUCAAGUAAACUUGCUAUUAGGUAAAAUACAUUAUUUAAGUUAUAUUCACUCUAUAUUAAUUCAUGGUAAAUUAGUACAUUUGAAAACACUCUUCUAUCCCACUUUUAGGAAAACGUCUCAUACUGAAUAUUGUUCACCAGAAAAAAACAAAGGAUGCUAAAAAUGAGUAAAAAAAGAAAACUUAAGAACUUCAUCACAUAUUAGUAACAAAUCACAGCAGCGUAACUUUUCAUUGUAAUUAUGAUCAUUUUUCAAUAGUAUUGUCCUUAUUGAUAAAUGAUGCACGGUGUAUCGGAUUUACUACGCUAGCUUUAUGAAUGAAGUGUAGUAAAUAUAUUCCCACGUACUUUUAAAAGCCAACCAAUGAAAAUGCAUUGAUUUCCACUUCCGCAUCUAGAACAUUCGAACAUUCGUUCACGUAAAUAAACAAAUACGUUUGUAUUGUUGAAUUAUACAACGGAAAUAAGUGGAAUUAAACAUCUAAAAUGUGUAUUCAAGAAUUGCCAAGAGAUACUAAUUAUCUAACUGGGUGUUUGAAAGAAAGAUAUCCCAACGGCCCUGACAUACAAACAUGGAAUUCGUUAUACUGCGGAAAAUAUUAUAGACUCAUUCAACAGUAUGUCUGGCAUCCAGAUGAAUUACAACGUCAAUAUGCAAAACAUCACGAAGAAAACGAUUGCUUAAAACAAAAUAUAUCUGAAAAAACUGCUAAACAACAAUUGGAAAAACUUCAAGAAGAGAACGUUUUCACUCGUUACUUGUAAUCACUCAAGCGUAGGAUUGUUUCACAAUUGCAUACACGGCUGAAUAUCAUACUUGUAAUCACUCAAGCGUAGGAUUGUUUUACAAUUGCAUACAUGAUUGAAUAUCAUAGUUGUCACUUGUUUCCUGUAAUCACGCAAGCGUAGGAUUGUUUUACAACUGCUUACAUGACUGAAUAUCAUACUUGUAAUCACUCGAGCGUAGGAUUGUUUCACAAUUGUAUACACGGUUGAAUAUCAUAGAUUUUUACUUGUUACUUGUAAUCACUCAAGCGUAGGAUUAUUUCACAAUUGCAUACACGGCUGAAUA
rnacentral:lncRNA from 1 species